ACAGCCACAUCAUGUUGAAAUGCCGGUUCCUGUAUGAUCACCAGAGUUAAGAAAUAUCGAGCUUGGUCAGUAUCUAGAUGGGUGACCGUUUAGGAACACCAGGUGCUGUAAG